GGCAGUGUAGCCCAGUGGCACAGAGCCUGCCUGGCAAGCACGAGGUCCUGAGUUCAAUUCCCGGUACUAUCU
rnacentral:tRNA from 1 species